rnacentral:rRNA from 1 species
AUUGAACGCUGGCGGCAUGCUUUACACAUGCAAGUCGAACGGUAACAGGCCGCAAGGUGCUGACGAGUGGCGAACGGGUGAGUAAUGCAUCGGAACGUGCCCAGUCGUGGGGGAUAACGCAGCGAAAGCUGCGCUAAUACCGCAUACGAUCUAUGGAUGAAAGCGGGGGACCGUAAGGCCUCGCGCGAUUGGAGCGGCCGAUGUCAGAUUAGGUAGUUGGUGGGGUAAAGGCUCACCAAGCCAACGAUCUGUAGCUGGUCUGAGAGGACGACCAGCCACACUGGGACUGGGACACGGCCCAGACUCCUACGGGAGGCAGCAGUGGGGAAUUUUGGACAAUGGGCGCAAGCCUGAUCCAGCAAUGCCGCGUGCAGGAAGAAGGCCUUCGGGUUGUAAACUGCUUUUGUACGGAACGAAAAGCCCUGGGUUAAUACCCUGGGGUCAUGACGGUACCGUAAGAAUAAGCACCGGCUAACUACGUGCCAGCAGCCGCCGUAACAC